UGGCCAUUUCUUCAAGCCACAGCAAUUAAGGCAAAAAACCUAAUACCUUAUACUUUCCCCUUAUUCUGCCGAUUCUCUCCCCUCCCAAACACUAAGCUACACAUUCAAGCUUGGGGAAUGAUUUUUCAGCCUUGAAAUCUCUUCUUGGCUUCGAUUCAAACAAAGCAAAAAGGAGAUUUAUGGUGUAUUUUCCAGGUGUGGUCAGAGGCGUGGAGGGCAAUGACAGAGGCGUGGUGGCCGAGCAGAGGGUAUGGGGCAUGGCAGACAGUAUGGGCGAUUGAACUUGGGGGCUAGGGUUUGUUAGCUGAGAAGUUUUAGGACUAGUUGGGCUAAGGUUUAGUUUUGGGCUUGGGUAUAUUGGGCUGUUAUAUUUGUUUAUGGGCCCGGGCAAUAUUGGGCUUGUACAAAUUAAAACAAAAUAAAUACACUAAAUAUUUACUACUUGACUCACAA